rnacentral:miRNA from 1 species
ACAAGCUUGAUUCUAUAGGUCU